AACAAACAACGGACUAACAUGCAACUGACUCUAUUACUGGGCGCGAUCUCAGUCGGCGACGAAACUGUGACCGAACAGAUCGGAUACGAAAACUUUAGCCCGCUCCCCGCGAGCAGGAAGCUUUAUAUUUCGAAAGUCUGAUAAAGGUCCUAGACCUCCUACCUCCUCCUCCCUCCCUGCACCUGCACAGCCUCCUGGGAAGGAAAAAGAGACCACUCAAUCAAUGGCGCACCACUGGGUCAUUUCCAAGUCCGGUUACACGAGACAAGGAACCUACCUACUUCUCGUGGCACUGGGGGCCAUCUUGGGACAAGCUCUGGGGAAGCACGAGUGCUUCGCCGACCUGAACGGACCGAAGGACGACCCAAACAACAUCUACAAAUGCGCAGACAACGAGAAGUGUUGCCAAGAUGGCGGAAAACCCUCCUGCUGCAGGGAGAAGGAUAAGGGGAAGGCGGCC